rnacentral:tRNA from 1 species
GGUCUCGUGGCCGAGCGGUUAGGCAGAGGUCUGCAAAACCUUGUACAGCGGUUCGAUUCCGCUCGAGACCU